CAGACACAUUUCAAACAGUUCAAUUCUUUGAGGAGAGCUCUUUCCUGUUCCUGCAUGGCUGUACCACUCAUCAGGAGGAGCUAAACGAGACAAACGGAUCCACUUUGGGCAGGCAAAGCCUGUACACAAGAGUGGAGGGUGCUCCAACUACAAAGGGAGAAUAAACUCUUAACGCUUAUGGCUUCGGAAUAGGAUGUCCAACAAGCUCGUAUGGCGGUUCAAGUGUUUGGCCAGAACGAACCUCCAGAAAGAGGUUCAAAGGCCUCUGGCAUAGAUUCUACAAAUCUCCGGAAUUCUUCCAAAAGAUAUUCCUUUAGCUGAAGUUUUGAUGGAGAGUAAUGUCUAGUAUAGAAGCCCAAAAUCUCCCAUAAGUGUUGAUCUUUGCUGAGAUCUGGCAACUGCACGGUGAUAGAAUAUGAUUUACAGGAUUUUCAUACCCAUCAAAUCAUUCAGUGAUCUCGUGUUUUGUGGAUUUGGGCAUUGUCCACCUGGAAGAGACCAGUCCCAUCAAGCCAAAGAUUCUUCAUAAUUGGAUAAAGGUGAUCAGUCAGGAUAACUCUAUUGACCCGCAGUGACCCUUCCCUCUAAAGGGCCAAUUGAUCCUGACAGCAUAAAGCUAAUAAAUGCUUGGUAUGAAAGUUAUGCUUCUGGUUAUGCGAGAUAUAUUAGGAUAUCUGCUAUUGGUGUGUAUUAAGUGAAUAUUGCCUAAGGUUGUGCCAAAAAGCUUUCCUUUUCAUAACUGAAGA